CGGGAGUAGGGCUAAUCCUGGUCGAGCAUCAGGAUAGCCGGCCAAAAGGAGCUCAUCGGUUCCAGUCGAGGUAGUCCUUGCCUUCCUAGGUCAAGUUCGUGCAUCGGAGAAUAUACUGCCUCAUUAAUCUUCACCAUCUACCCCCCCCCCCCAAACUGAUAGGGGGACCUCAUCAAUUGCCCGUCGAGCUAGAGUCGCAAGCUCAGAACC
rnacentral:lncRNA from 1 species